rnacentral:misc_RNA from 1 species
GAUGAAGAACGUAGCGAAAUGCGAUACUUGGUGUGAAUUGCAGAAUCCCGUGAACCAUCGAGUUUUUGAACGCAAGUUGCGCCCGAAGCCUUUUGGCCGAGGGCACGUCUGCCUGGGCGUCACGCAUCGCGUCGCCCCCCACAAUUCUCCGUAAAGGGAACGUGUGUUUUGGGGGCGGAUAUUGGUCUCCCGUGCUCAUGGCGUGGUUGGCCGAAAUAGGAGUCCUUUCGAUGGACGCACGAACUAGUGGUGGUCGUAAAAACCCUCGUCUUUUGUUUCGUGCUGUUGCUCGCAAGGUAAACUCUUUAAAAACCCCAAUGUGUCGUAUCUUGACGACGCUUCGACCGCGACCCCAGGUCAGGCGGGACUACCCGCUGAGUUUAAGCAUAUCAAUAAGCGGAGGA